rnacentral:rRNA from 1 species
GACGAACGCUGGCGGCGUGCUUAACACAUGCAAGUCGAACGAAGAGCGAUGGAAGCUUGCUUCUAUCAAUCUUAGUGGCGAACGGGUGAGUAACGCGUAAUCAACCUGCCCUUCAGAGGGGGACAACAGUUGGAAACGACUGCUAAUACCGCAUACGAUCUAAUCUCGGCAUCGAGGAAAGAUGAAAGGUGGCCUCUAUGUAUAAGCUAUCACUGAAAGAGGGGAUUGCGUCUGAUUAGCUAGUUGGAGGGGUAACGGCCCACCAAGGCGAUGAUCAGUAGCCGGUCUGAGAGGAUGAACGGCCACAUUGGGACUGAGACACGGCCCAGACUCCUACGGGAGGCAGCAGUAGGGAAUCUUCCGCAAUGGACGAAAGUCUGACGGAGCAACGCCGCGUGAGUGAUGACGGCCUUCGGGUUGUAAAGCUCUGUUAAUCGGGACGAAAGGCCUUCUUGCGAAU